rnacentral:misc_RNA from 1 species
UUAAAUUCUCAAUUCAAAUAUUAUCUUGUGAUAGUUAUUUUGAAUUGGAGUAUGGAGGCUGCUGGGUGUAUUGUGUAAAACCAGCUCUUCUAAAAUAUAUUAGCAAAAUUCAGACUUUUGAAUUUCUCUAGUAUAAUAAUAACUUGUACUAUUGAAACCAGACUUUCAUUUAUGAAUGGAAUAGUUGUUUUUUGCUACGUAAACCCCAAAAACUUGAUAC